AUUGAACGCUGGCGGCAGGCUUAACACAUGCAAGUCGAGCGAGCGGCGGACGGGUGAGUAAUGUCUGGGAAACUGCCUGUUGGAGGGGGAUAACUACUGGAAUCUGUAGCUCAUACCGCAUACCAUCAGAUGUGCCCAGAUGGGAUUAGGUAGUAGGUGGGGUAAUGGCUCACCUAGGCGACGAUCCCUAGAUGGUCUGAGAGGAUGACCAGCCAGACUGGAACUGAGACACGGGCCAGACUCCUACGGGAGGCAGCAGUGGGGAAUAGUGCACAAUGGGAGCAAGCCUGAUGCAGCCAGGCCGCGGGUGGGAAGAAGGCCUUCGGGUUGUAAAGCACUUGCAGCGAGGAGGCGUUACUCGCAGAAGAAGCACCGGCUAACGCCGUGCCAGCCGCCGCGGUAAUUC
rnacentral:rRNA from 1 species